rnacentral:rRNA from 1 species
CCAGACUCCUACGGGAGGCAGCAGUGGGGGAUAUUGCACAAUGGAGGGAACUCUGAUGCAGCGACGCCGCGUGAGGGAAGAAGGUUUUCGGAUUGUAAACCUCUGUCUUCGGUGACGAAACGAGACGGUAGCCGAGGAGGAAGCCACGGCUAACUACGUGCCAGCAGCCGCGGUAAUACGUAGGGGGCAAGCGUUAUCCGGAUUCACUGGGUGUAAAGGGAGCGCAGGCGGUACGGCGAGUCUGAUGUGAAAACCCGGGGCCCAACCCCGGGACCGCACCGGAUACUGCCGGACUCGAGUGCCGGAGGGGCAGGCGGAAUUCCUGGUGUAGCGGUGAAAUGCGCAGAUAUCAGGAGGAACACCGGUGGCGAAGGCGGCCUGCUGGACGGUAACUGACGCUGAGGCUCGAAAGCGUGGGGAGCGAACAGGAUUAGAUACCCGCGUAUC